rnacentral:lncRNA from 1 species
CACUGUGGUUGCUGUGUUUCCUGUGGGGUGUACUGGUAGGCCUCACUUUCUCCCUCUGCCCUGUCCUGUUUCCUUUAUCUCCCCUCCUCAGCGGAUGGUUCCAGCAACACUCCGUGACAAACAUCCUGUUCCUAAACUCUUCCCGGAGCCUGCUUCCUGGGAGGCCCACCUUCUACAGGCACCCACCUCCCUUCUUCCUCAAGACGGCCCUUGAGAGCCUCCCUGCACCCAGAGGCUCUUGUCUGAGAUGAGAAGACCAAGAACCCAAAAGAUGAGCUCAUAGACCCCGAACCAAGUGCACCUGCACCCACCUGUUCCGGUGGCCUGGAGAGAGACCAUCCUCAUUGCUUCUCAAGGCCCUAACCCAGGAAGCCCAGGCCAACUGGAAAGGCGCUCCUGGAGGUGGAGGAGGUACCGCAGAGGGAGACAUGCCUCCAGAUUCUCCUUUGUGGCUCAGGACGCAGCAUCCAGUAGGAACCCAAGGCCUGGAAAUUCCCGCUCAUUGAGGAAUGUGGGAGACAUUCCUGGAGUUACACGGAAAUACAAUGCAAAGCCAGGAUGUCCCUGGGGAUGGAGAGAUGGCAGCCGAGAUUUCCUACCCCAGGGAAGAGAUGCCUCUGGUGAAGGUGGGCAACCAAGACAACAAUUCUUGGCUUUGAGUUUUGAAUUAUGGCCACGGUAGAGAUUUAAAAAAAAAAAAUGUUUUUAAGAGAAAAGGCUUUGGGGUUGCCAAAAUCUAGGCUUUUGAGGUUCAAAAUCCUAAUCUUUGAACAAUUUAGAGAAUGAAGAUUAGGUGUGUAUAUUUGGCAACAGAAACAUACCUGGUUACUCUUCCAACACCUUGAAAAGUAUUUGUUGCUUAAAGAUUCCACAGCGGGAGCCAGUGGCAGAGGAGACAGAGGAGGUCAGCCAAAGGGAGGAGAGAAGGAGAAGCAAGAGAGUUAGGUAGAUAUAGCAACGUGACCCCAAGAAAAGGAUCCUAGACCAGACCCUAGGGGAAAGGGGCACAACAGAAAUUCCAGAUCCAUUUGGGGAUUUGGCUCCAAAGAGGACUUCAGUCUUGAUUCCAGAGAUGAGCCCUGGGGUGGCAUGUCUCAGAGAUUCUCAGAGGGCCAUUCGAGAGCCUCACAGAGAAGGCUACCUGCUGGCAGGACCAAGACAGCCCCUAGGGACCAACCCCUCCCCACCCCACCAGCAGAACCAUAGGACAGCAGCCAAAUGUUUCAGGGCUUUCCAGAGGGUGAAAGAGAAUAGGACCUAGGGAGACCUUAUCGUUGGGAUGGGCACUUGUGCAUCUGACCUAAUGAUAAAGAUCAGAUGGAAACAAGGGUGUCCGUGUGGAAGCAGGGAGAGAAGCAACUACUGACUGGGUGCCCUGGUCACGUGGGUGUGUGCGAAGCCCCUUCCUGGGGAAAGUGUCUGGCGGAGGGGAGGGUGGGUGCAGAUUGUGCUGGGGUCCAGAACUGGCUGAAGAAACCAUGAACUGAGAUCAAGUUUCUGGCAUCUAGCAGAAGAGUGGAAACCCCACACAGAAACUACAUUGUAGAAAGACAAGGUUUGACUUUUACGCACACUUGGUUUCCUACCCACCAGGC